AACCGGCAGCUUAGUGGUAGAGCAACUGCAUUUGUGUGAGCAAGGCCUAGCGAGCAUUGACUGCGUUGUCGUAGGUUCGAAUCCUGCCCGUUGGCUA